rnacentral:rRNA from 1 species
GACGAACGCUGGCGGCGUGCCUAAUACAUGCAAGUCGAGCGAGUCUGCCUUGAAGAUCGGAGUGCUUGCACUCUGUGAAACAAGAUACAGGCUAGCGGCGGACGGGUGAGUAACACGUGGGUAACCUGCCCAAGAGAUCGGGAUAACACCUGGAAACAGAUGCUAAUACCGGAUAACAACAGAUGAUGCCUAUCAACUGUUUAAAAGAUGGUUCUGCUAUCACUCUUGGAUGGACCUGCGGUGCAUUAGCUCGUUGGUAGGGUAACGGCCUACCAAGGCGACGAUGCAUAGCGGGUUUGAGAGGCUGAUCGGCCACAGUGGAACUGAGACACGGCCCAGACUCCUACGGGAGGCAGCAGUGGGGAAUAUUGCACAAUGGGCGCAAGCCUGAUGGAGCAACGCCGCGUGAGUGAAGAAGGGGUUCGGGUUGUAAAGCUCUUUUGUUGGGAAAGAAAAGCAGGGGGAGAAAAUCCCGUUGUUUUGACGGUACCAAAUGAAAAAGCCCCGGCUAACUACGUG